rnacentral:rRNA from 1 species
ACGGGAGGCAGCAGUGAGGAAUAUUGGUCGAUGGGCGCGAGCCUGAACCAGCCAAGUAGCGUGAGGGAUGACUGCCCUACGGGUUGUAAACCUCUUUUGUUUGGGAAUAAAGGAGCCUACGUGUAGGCUUUUGCAUGUACCUUUCGAAUAAGCAUCGGCUAAUUCCGUGCCAGCAGCCGCGGUAAUACGGAAGAUGCGAGCGUUAUCCGGAUUUAUUGGGUUUAAAGGGAGCGUAGGCGGACUGUUAGGUCUGUGGUCAAAUGUCAGGGCCCAACCUUGGCAUGCCAUGGAAACCGGCGGUCUUGAAUACACGCAAGGCAGAUGGAAUUCGUCGUGUAGCGGUGAAAUGCUUAGAUAUGACGAAGAACUCCGAUUGCGAAGGCAGUCUGCUGGAGUGCGAUUGACGCUGAGGCUCGAAAGCGCGGGUAUCAAACAGGAUUAGAUACCCUGGUA